ensembl:lncRNA
UAUGAGUUGCUAGUAGCAUUGAGGAGAGUGCCUAAUUAGAGAUGUCCUCCUGCUUCCUCCAUAUCUGCCUCCUGACCCCCUGGACUUGGUCCCAAUUCUCCUUCAGUUGUGGUUGACUAUUGUUUGUUGAAAACCAUCUACAAGCACUAUUUUCUGGACUGCAUAACUGUAUUGUGCCUCUGUUAAGCAAUAUGCGGUGCUACAUGGCCUGGGAAACACAGUGGCCACAACAAUACAUGCCAUGGCACCCAGAUACCACACUGAUGGGCAUAAUAUAGCAAUGUGACUGGAACAGAACUUUAUGCAAAGAUCAAUACUGUUUUUAAAAAAUCAGCAUAUAAAGAAUGAAGGCCUGAUUGUCCAAUCCAUUUUACACCAGUGUAACUCUACUUCUUUUGUAUGGCAUCUAUGAAAAUAAAGGAGGAUAAGCUCCUUGUAUAAUCCAGUCCUGAUCCUCUCGGAUAAAUCAGUGUCAUUCCCUUGCUCUUGCUUCUCUGAUGAAUGACUGUCCCCAGGACAGUCUGUAUAGCCCAUUUCAAAGCUUUCACACUGCAGUGUUCGAGCUCUUCAAGCUUACCUUAGGCCCCGGGGACUUCUCAGAGGAUAAGGAUUUCAAGUACCGUGAGGUUUUCAUGCUUCUCCUCAUCUUCAGCAACCUUUCAGAAGUGAAAGCCAUGACCGCACUGGAUCUGGAAAUAAGUUUGCCAGUGUUCUGGAGAAAAUGGCUCCAAAGAAAAAAAAAUUGGCCCAGUACACUAAUUGGAUAUACCUGAUAAAAAGGAAGGUUCAAGGAGAGAUGUGGUGGGAAAAAGGGAACCUGAAGAAAGCAACACAUCAGUAGAUUAAUCUGAUGUCUGAAGAGAUGUUGGUUUCUUCAGUUCUUGUUGUAUGUAUAUACUCUUGUACUGCAAGUCAGAUUCCUUCUGCUUUUGCUUUGAACUGUAAAGUGGAAAGUUGCAAGUAAAUAUACUAUUUACUUCUCAAAGUAGAUAUAGAUAUUUAUACUCUUCUUUUCUCUUGCAAAUUGUAUUAUGUCAGCACAGAUAAAUAGGAACCUGACUAACUGUUGUGCAAACCAUAUCCUCCUAUAUUUUAUAUCUAUAUUAGCGUAAUGCACGUUAAUUUUUGGUGAGUGAUUGUUUCUCAGGGGAGUUGAUGAUAGAUUCCAUCCAAUAACCAAAACACAAUGAAUGCCGUAAUUUUGGACAUUAUAACAAUUAAGAUAAAAUCUAUUUAUCAGUAAAACCAUAUUUCUAUAUCAGUGCUACAGACCAUGUGAUGACUGAAAACUUAUAUCGAGCAACCUGAGUAGCUGUGUUAGUAGCUGUGACAGUCUCUCUCCCAGGCAAGCCCCACAGGAGAAGGAUGCUAUGGGGCAUUUCACCAAGCAGUUGAGCCUCCAAAAGAUCAGUUAGGAUUAGAGAUGGGGAGCAAGCAGUGAAAUCCUACAGAGAGUUUUCUGUGUGUUGUUUGGGGCCAGCUAGGAAGCCUCAGUGUCUAGGCUGUUUGUAGUUUUUCCACUGGGAGGUGAGGAAGUUUUUCUUCUUGUGGGCAAAAAUACUCAGUUUAUUUCCUGCUUUUAACCAGAAUGUGUGAAGUACUGUACAAAGCUCAAGAGAGAGCCUUCUAGUGUGGUUGAUUGGAGGUAGAUAUCUAACCAGUAAUGACCAAUUUAUGGAAACAUGGUCUUAACUAACAAGCUGUUUACUUAGCAUAUUUAAGGAAUCAUUACAUACAGUAACUUCCUCAGCCCUUUUGCCAUAAUGCUCUGUUCUCAUAAAGAGCUCCAAGUCCAUUGUCUGUGAACAUAGACAAUACACUUAAAAACAAUUAUAAUUAACCUUCUUCUUAAGAACAAUUAUAUUCAACAACAAACAAAAAAAACUAAACAGACUUCCUUGCCCCAGAGUCGUCAGGCUCAUAAUCAUGUUCCAAAAUGGGUUUUAACUUGGCUUCUUCUGGUUGUUUCUGUGCCUCCUCUCGCCUGCUCCCAUCUCUCAAAAGUGGAACCAAGGUCUUCCAGUUUUUCCCUGAAACUUAUAAGCAAAGUGGCUAUUAAUGUUUUUUUCCUAUAGAAACAGACCAGAAUAUUCCUGGUUUCCAACACAGAGGAAAGCUGAUAUGAUAUAAAGCACAAGUGAAGAUUUUAUUCUUUUAAGAGUUUUAUUCUUCUGUCAGUUUUCCAUUCUUUUAAGCUGACAAGUACACCCACUGAUCUAUGAACUGGGGCUCUUCUGUGCUGACUAGUGAGCUACUGCACUGUGGGGUUGGGGCAUGACAGGGUGACUCCUGUGGUACACUGCUGCCAAGGUGUGCCGGUCAUUACCAUAGAAACAUCCAGAGUGAGGAACUGGAGGGAGCUAGAGAAUUCCAAAGAAUAAAACUGCAAAAUGAAUAAAGGGUUAGUUCA